rnacentral:rRNA from 1 species
AUUGAACGCUGGCGGCAUGCCUUACACAUGCAAGUCGAACGGUAACAGGUCUUCGGAUGCUGACGAGUGGCGAACGGGUGAGUAAAACAUCGGAACGUGCCUAGUAGUGGGGGAUAACUACUCGAAAGAGUGGCUAAUACCGCAUGAGAUUUACGGAUGAAAGCAGGGGAUCGCAAGACCUUGUGCUACUAGAGCGGCCGAUGGCAGAUUAGGUAGUUGGUGGGAUAAAAGCUUACCAAGCCGACGAUCUGUAGCUGGUCUGAGAGGACGAUCAGCCACACUGGGACUGAGACACGGCCCAGACUCCUACGGGAGGCAGCAGUGGGGAAUUUUGGACAAUGGGCGAAAGCCUGAUCCAGCAAUGCCGCGUGCAGGAUGAAGGCCUUCGGGUUGUAAACUGCUUUUGUACGGAACGAAAAGCCCCGGGUUAAUACCCUGGGGUCAUGACGGUACCGUAAGAAUAAGCACCGGCUAACUACGUGCCAGCCGCCGCAGUAA